rnacentral:tmRNA from 1 species
GGGGUUGACCGGUUUUGACAGCGUGUAGAAGUGGUCAGCAAGCAUGCAGAGCAAUGAUGCCUAAGCUCUUAAAUCUCUGACAUCAAAAUUUCAAAUGGCGAAAACAACUACGCUCUCGCUGCUUGAUUGAAGUAUAGUAGAUCAGCUUUAUCCGCGUAACAGUUACGCGGACGAGACAUCGCCCGAGAGUCCUGGACCCGAGACUCCUCGAUAAGGCGGUGCAGCUAAAUCGGGUAUAGGGAAAGCCGCGCUUCGAGGUUUGCCCGAAAUUUUAGAAGCUAAGGCCAUGGUUGGAGGUCCCGUUCCUGCCACGGCUCGAAAACCAACUCGGGAAUAAGCAUGUAGAAAACUCAUCAAUUCCACGUUUGGACGGGGGUUCAAAUCCCCCCAACUCCACUU